CAUAACUGUUUUCACAGUGCUCUAGCUGGCACAGCUGGUCCCUUGCCAGAUGGCCCUUAUCGCUAAUCGUUGGAAUCGUAUCCUUAUUGGCUAAAGAGAUAUCAGUUUCUCGCUACUUGCUACUGGCUGGCCCAACUGCCAAACAAACGGCCGGUGUUCAGGAUAUUGGCUUCUAAGCUGUCUAUCUCUGCUCUACGGGCACCUAUUGGCUCAUGUGAAGGCUGGACUACAAAUAUAACACUGAAUUUGUAGUUCAUCAACUGGGAAGUGAGAGCCGGAAAAAAAAUGGACGGGAGUGAACUCCGUUUACAGUCUUCGGUCAGAAAAAUAACUAUUGUAAGGCGAGCACAGCAAUUUGGAUUAAAAGGCUUAGAUACUUCUUGGACCCUUGGGGAUUUAUGAAAAAAUAUUGAAAAUUAUGAAGCGAGGGAAGAAUUUACAAGAUGUGGAAGCAGCUAAUGCUGUUUUGAGUCACUCUGCUGAUGAACAGACUGUUUGUGAGAAGAUGAAAAUGAACUUCAUGUAUCGGCAAGCAAUGUUCAACAAUGAAGCCAAAUGAUCAGUUGUUUUCUUGGUCUUCCCACGAUUUCUGGACACACCAGGCCUGAUAGAACAAGAUUUCAGAUUUCUGUUUGGUGAGGCCACGGCCAACAAAUUCUUGGAAAAGUGUCCAACCACUUUUAAAGCAAAAGUAAUAAAGGAAAGCCAUGGACUUGAACCCACCACAGAACUCUUGGAUUUGAUGCGCAAUGCUGUCAGCUGCUGAAGUUGAGAAUGGCUGGGACAGUGACAUGUCUGCCAUCUUACUGCUGCUACAUCUGCUACAUCUGCUACCACCAUCUGCACAAGGUUGGAACCAGUGUGCAGCAGCAUCUAGACAACAUUACCCAAAGCAGUCAGCCCUACCUUCUCGCCCAGGGAUCCACACAAAUCCAUUCACUCCUACUUCAUUGUGGUUGACAAGGACAUGUGUUAAAACAACACAAUCAGUGUUAAUUAGGGAACAAAAAUGCUAACUUCAGUCCGCAUUCUUGGCUAACGGAGACAAUAUUUAGAGGCCGAGUCACAGUUAUCUUCACCAUACAUUGUAAAAAGUUGUUCAGCUGUAAUUUCUGAUCUAAAGGCAGCAGGUGUUGGUCAAAGUGAACACUGAAUUCUGUAGUGAUUUCCAUGGAAGAGAUUGUUCAAGAUCUCCAUCAGCAUGCUAAAGAGACAGUGAUACAGUAAAGCAUGUAUUUAGUUAUGAAAGAGAAACGGAAAUGUGCAAGAAAGUUGAGGCAUGUUUCGAGGGGUUAGAGAAUCCUUUCACAAUUCUAAAUUCGGAAUACAAGCGAUCAAAAUUUAUGACUGACAAGUGGGAAAUAGUAGAACCAGUUGAAUGUGUGAUUGGUUCAAGAUUUGACACGAGACAAAAUAAAAAGACUGGAACAUAUGAUCAGGUAGUAGUUCAAUAUAAAUUCAUGUAUAUUCCAAUUUUAUGAAAAACUGCAACAGAAAUGUUGCACAGCUCAGCUACCAGUGACUCUAGACUGAGAGAUAUUUGUGAUGGAUCUUAUUUUAAAAGUCACCCCCUGUUCUCAACUGAGAACUGAGAACUGACUUUGAGGUGGCCAACCCUCUGGGUCCUAAGCGAGGGUGGAGUAUAUUUUACUUUAAGAAACUUCUCUCCAAAAUGGAAUUCUUUGUUGGCUAACAUACACUUGUGUGCCUUAUUUCACACUCAAGAUGUUAAACGGUAUGGUUUUAGUGAAAUUUUUGCUCCCAUUGUUCGAGAUAUUAAAGUGUUAGAGAGUGAUGUGGGAUGUGGUAGCUCAGUGGUUAAGGGGUUGGGCUACUGAUCGGAAGGUCAUUGGUUCGAACCCCAGGUCCACCAAGCUGCCACUGCUGGGCCCCUUAACCCUCAGUUGCUCAGUUGUAAGUCACUCUGGAUAAGGGUGUCUGCUAAAUGCCGUAAAUGAUGGUAUUGAGAUUCCAUUAUACAAUGUUCAUGGUACUGUAGUCCGGGUUACUGGUGAUAAUUUGGGUUUGCAUAGUUUGUUUGGUCUGGUGGAGUCUUUCAGUGCAAGGUACUGUUGCAGGUUCUGUUUAGCAGAAAAGGAGGACUUUCAGACAGAAUUCUCUGAAGAUUCUUCCAAAGUAGUUUUUGCGCACCAAAGAUAUACACACUGCUCACUGUCAAGAAAUGGCCUGUAAUCCAUCCCUUCCAUAUGUUUUUGGUGUGAAAAGGUCAAGCAUAUUAAAUUCAUUGGAGUAUUUUCACACAACAGAGAACUUCUCUGAUGUGUUAGAAGGGGUGGGCCAGUACGAAUUGAAGUUAUUAUUUCUGUAUUUGAAGGAAAAACAUGUUACAUCAGCAGAAAUAAAUUCAAGAAAAAAAAAGUUUUGAUUAUGGUUUCAUGGAGAGAAACAACAGCCCUGUAGCUGUUAAUUUAGGUGAAGGGUCUAAUGAUCUGGGACUGGAUGCAGCGGGGAUAGUGGAUAAGAAAUUGGUGCUUUGGUAAAAGGUUUUUCUGAAGAUACAACUUCUUAAACAGUGUGUGGUGAUCCACAAUUAAAUGUUUUAAAUAUACACAUAAACCUUGUGAUAACAUGGGCGAGAAUAUAAUGUUUAUUAUUUGAAGUACUAAAAGAAGCAGGCCUCAGUGUUGGUCUGUAGAAGUUACUAAUUCUCCAAAGAUAAGAGGAACAUUCCGAAGUAAGCACCAGGACUGAACUGCAUCCAGAAAAUUGGGGCUGUCCUUCAUAGUUGGUGUAAGACACUGGUGUAGUCCACAUGAGACGCAGGUAUACGCCGUAUACCCACUAGGAAAGGCCAAGGAUUUCCGUAUACACACUUAAAAAGCGUGAGGAUACGUAACAAUAUCGU